GACGAACGCUGGCGGCGUGCUUAACACAUGCAAGUCGAACGGAAAGGCCCUGCUUUUGUGGGGUGCUCGAGUGGCGAACGGGUGAGUAACACGUGAGUAACCUGCCCUUGACUUUGGGAUAACUUCAGGAAACUGGGGCUAAUACCGGAUAGGAGCUCCUGCUGCAUGGUGGGGGUUGGAAAGUUUCGGCGGUUGGGGAUGGACUCGCGGCUUAUCAGCUUGUUGGUGGGGUAGUGGCUUACCAAGGCUUUGACGGGUAGCCGGCCUGAGAGGGUGACCGGCCACUUUGGGACUGAGAUACGGCCCAGACUCCUACGGGAGGCAGCAGUGGGGAAUAUUGCACAAUGGGCGGAAGCCUGAUGCAGCAACGCCGCGUGCGGGAUGGCGGCCUUCGGGUUGUAAACCGCUUUCGCCUGUGACGAAGCGUGAGUGACGGUAAUGGGUAAAGAAGCACCGGCUAACUACGUG
rnacentral:rRNA from 1 species